UUAACUUCCAAACAUUAAAAAUCAUAAACCAGCAUUUUUACCUGCUGAAAACUGAACGUUCCUGACAUGUUUGGAUGGGAUUAAGAUCACUGAGAUUAACUGAAACUGAUCAAAAUUAAUCUCUGCCAUCUUUUCCAGACGCAGAUUAUAAUCUGGAUUGUGUGAACGAUUAUCUGUUCACUCUCAACUGUUCCCUGAACGCCUCACCAGCGGCCAGCAACAAAACCUACUGGCUGAAAGUCACCAGCAAUUUGGAGCAGACGGAGUAUAAAUGUCUGCUGGGAAACACGACGGCCGGCCUCUUCUGUUCCCUCGACAGAUCCCUGACGGCCGACGACGCAGAAACAUUUUCAGACGAUGAAGAUUUAGAAAUUUUUUUGUGUGAAAA